UCCAUGAGUCCAUAUCGAAUUUGAUCGAAGGGCAACAAAACUUAUUAAAAAAAUAAGAAUCAUGACACCAUAGAAAAUAAUCUGAUAGAUCCCUAUAUCCUUAUUCCUUCCUUAGACCCUCCUGCAUUGGGUUGCCUUUUUUAUUACAAAACAUUAUCUCAAUUGAUGCUAGUAUAAGUAGUUAACUGAGAUGCUUUCGCCUGCUCUUAUAUUGGUGUGAUAAAAAUAUCCGUUUGAAGGGGACCCGUAGUGGAUCCGAUAUUGCGCCACUCCAUGGUUUCGGCCUUCCGGGAAUAUGUCCGUUGCACAGCGGAGUCCAAAUCAAAUUGAAUUACUCUCUCUCUCUCUCUCUCUCUCUCUCUCGAUCGAUCGAUCGAUGAUAAUUUCCUUGAGAUCCAAUCCUUUGAAUACGAAGACCCCAACUCGAGGAAGAAAAUGCAAAUACUCGGGCCAAUCAGUGAGAACACUUCCUUUACGUAUAUUAACAGUUGGGAGAAGAAGAUCCCAGGGAGUUCAGCUUUUGGUUGAAGAGUACAAGGAGAAACUCAAGCACUAUUGCAGUGUUGACGAUAUCCAAAUUCGAUCCAAUCCUAAAAAUACUUGUGAUGUGAAUGCUCAGGUUGAAAGGGAAGACAUGGCUGUCAUGCAGCACAUAAGGUCUGAAGAUUGGGUUGUGAUGUUGGAUGAGCAUGGUUCAAACAUAGGAUCUGAGCAAAUGGCAGAAUUGGUGGGAGAUGCAGGGAAAACACUAUAUUUAUUGUUAAACCAAGGGCAACCAUAUUUUUUGUCACCACUUCUUUUCAGGGUUCUUCAAGGUUAUUGUUUUGCAUUGGUGGACCUUAUGGUCAUGGACCACAAUUACGUGAUCGUGCAAAUGUAACAAUCAGGUUGUCUUCUUUGGUUUUAAAUCAUCAAAUUGCAUUGAUAGUGCUACUGGAACAACUUUACAGGGCAUGGACCAUUCUUAAAGGACAGAACUACCAUCACUAGAGGUGUCAUUUUAUUCUUGCAGCCAAGACAUGUAAAUUAGUAUUUUGGAGAGGAUCCUUCUCAUGUAUUUCCUUGUAAAUUGAUACUAAUUGUUGAAUUUUGAAUUCUUCUUUCACAAUAUUUGUUUCUUAUGUCAAAAUCAAUUUUAUUUUUA